UGAGGGAAAGGCGAAAAGAACCCCGGCGAGGGGAGUGAAAAAGAACCUGAAACCGUGUACGUACAAGCAGUGGGAGCCCCACCACCAAAGCAUUCUCUGGUGUUGAAGGCCCUGCAAAGCAGCAUCGCGGUGGCGGAGCGUCGUUUGCGACGCCCAACACACAAAACAAGCGGUGAGUGCUUUGGGGUGGGGUGACUGCGUACCUUUUGUAUAAUGGGUCAGCGACUUAUAUUCUGUAGCAAGGUUAACCGUAUAGGGGAGCCGAAGGGAAACCGAGUCUUAACUGGGCGUUAAGUUGCAGGGUAUAGACCCGAAACCCGGUGAUCUAGCCAUGGGCAGGUUGAAGGUUGGGUAACACUAACUGGAGGACCGAACCGACUAAUGUUGAAAAAUUAGCGGAUGACUUGUGGCUGGGGGUGAAAGGCCAAUCAAACCGGGAGAUAGCUGGUUCUCCCCGAAAGCUAUUUAGGUAGCGCCUCGUGAACUCAUCUUCGGGGGUAGAGCACUGUUUCGGCUAGGGGGUCAUCCCGACUUACCAACCCGAUGCAAACUGCGAAUACCGAAGAAUGUUAUCACGGGAGACACACGGCGGGUGCUAACGUCCGUCGUGAAGAGGGAAACAACCCAGACCGCCAGCUAAGGUCCCAAAGUCACAGUUAAGUGGGAAACGAUGUGGGAAGGCUCAGACAGCCAGGAUGUUGGCUUAGAAGCAGCCAUCAUUUAAAGAAAGCGUAAUAGCUCACUGGUCGAGUCGGCCUGCGCGGAAGAUGUAACGGGGCUAAACCAUGCACCGAAGCUGCGGCAGCGA
rnacentral:rRNA from 2 species